GCCCUAGGUGUCUGCAGCACAACAGCCAACACUUCUGGAGCACAUGGCCCUGCAGUGAAGGAUUCUGGAGCUCGCAUUUGUCUGAAGGGGAUCCGAGGAGGUUCUGUCUUGUUGAAUGUGAUUGAGAAGCUCAGAGUAGAUGUAGACGCCGAGCUGGAGGAGGUUGUAUGGACUUUGGGUACUCUGUCAAAUCAUACACAGGUGCUGUGAGUCCACAGGGGGGCCGACUCUCCAACCCGGGUCAGCCUUGAGGAAAAGUUCAAGCAGAGGGUCCAUGUGCCCAGCGUGUUGUCUCUGAGGAUUGAGAACCUGGCCCCUGAAGACAGUGGGCAGUACCUGGCCAUGAUCCACUUAACUGGGGGACAAUUAUCUGGCCAGGUUUUCUACCUCACUGUCUGUGAGCCUGUGCCUCAUCCUGAGAUCCUGGCCAAGUCACUGUCUAUCAUACCAGGCUUGUGUAACAUCACCCUGGAGUGUAGGGCUCCAGGAGCCACAGAGGACCUGAAUGUGACUUGGGAGAGCAAGGACCUCCUCAGAGAUCUGGAGCACAGAGAAACACGAGGACCAGCCCCUAACCCCUGGACCCUGGCUGUGAACCUGCCCCUGAGCCAGCAGAACAGCAAUCUCACCUGUGUGGUCAGCAACUAGGACUCUCCUUUCCCCAAGGACAGUUUUAUUUCGAAAGAAAAAUUGGAAAUGCAGAGCCACGAGGGGGCGCCCUGGACCCUGGUCUGGUGGUAAAGUCAGCACCUUCAUAAAGCAAGGAUCUCCUAGAUGCCGGGUUCAGAAUGAAAUAGGAGCAUUGGCUGAACAUCUGCCGGGGACCUCACUGGGCACGCACAGGGCCUCACUUACUCAACGCAGACACUCCCUGAAGUGAGUGCUUAUGCCCCACUGUGGUGAGCUCACAGGCUCAGGCAAGUUCAGCAAUCUGUCCAGGGUUACUCAGGUAAUAAGUGGAAAAUGAGAUUCAGACCCAAUUCUGUGCAGUUCUAAAGCCC
ensembl:lincRNA